CAUGAGCCGAAUACAACAAGUGUAGACCUUACCGUGAAAUGCUUACUUACAAGCCCUUAACCAACAGUGCAGUUCAAGAAAGACUUAAGAAAAUAUUUACCAAAUAAACUAAAGUAAAAAAUAAUAAAAAGUAACACAAUAAAAUAACUAUAACGAGGUUAUAUACAGGGGUUCCGGUACCGAGUCAGUGUGUGGGGAUACAGGUUAGUCGAGGUAAUUUGUAAAUGCAGGUAGGGAUGAAGUGACUAUGCAUAGGUAAUAAACAGUGAGUAGCAGCAGUGUAAAAAAACAAAUGGAGGGGGAUGUCAAUGUAAAUAAUCCGGUGGCCAUUUGAUUAACUGUUCAGCAGUCUUAUGGCUUGGGGGUAGAAACUGUUAAGGAGCCUUUUGGUCUGAGACUUGGCGCUCUGAUACCGUUCGCCGUGUGGUAGCAGAGAAAACAGUCUAUGACUUGGGUGACUGGAGUCUUUGACAGUUUUAUGGGCUUUCCUCUGACACUGCCUAUUAUAUAGGUCCUGGAUUGCAGGAAGCUUGGCCCCAGUGAUGUACUGGGCCGUACGCAUUACCCUCUGUAGCGCCUUACGGUCACAUGCCAUAACAGGCGGUGAUGUAACCGGUCAGGAUGCUCUCGAUGGAACAGUUGUAGAACUUUUUGAAGAUCUGGGAUGCAUGCCAAAUCUUUUCAGUCUCCUGAGGGGGAAAAAGUUUUGUUGUGUUCUCUUCACGACUGUCUUGGUGUGUUUGGACCAUGAUAGUUUAUUGGUGAUGUGGACACCAAGGAACUUGAAACUCUCGACCUGCUCCACUACAGCCCUGUCGAUGUUAAUGGGGGCCUGUUCGGCCCGCCUUUUCCUGUAGUCCACGAUCAGCUCCUUUGACUGGCUCACAUUGAGGGAGAGGUUGUGGUCUUGGCACCACACUGCCAGUUCUCUGACCUCCUUCCUAUAGGCUGUCUCAUCGUUCUCGGUGAUCAGGCCUACCACUGUUGUGUCGUCAGCAAACUUAAUGAUGGUGUUGGAGUCGUGUUUGGCCACGCAGUCAUGGGUGAACAGGGAGUACACGAGGGGACUAAGCAGGCACCCAUGAGGGGCCCGCGUGUUGAGGUUCAGCGUGGCAGAUGUGUUGUUCCCUACCCUUACCACCUGGGGGCGGCCCGUCAGGAAGUCCAGGAUCCUGUUGCAGAGAUGAAUGUGGUACCUUCAGGCGUUUGGAAAUUGCUCCCAAGGAUGAACCAGACUUGUGGAGGUCUACAAUUUUUUUCUGAGGUCUUGGCUGAUUUUUAAUUUUUUCCCCCAUGAUGUCAAGCAAAAAUGAACUGAGUUUGAAGGUAGGCCUUGAAAUACAUCCACAGGUACACCUCCAAUUGACUCAAAUGAUGUCAAUUAGCCUAUCAGAAGCUUCUAAAGCCAUGACAUCAUUUUCUGGAAUUGUCCAAGCUGUUUAAAGGCACAGUCAACUUAGUGUAUGUAAACUUCUGACCCACUGGAAUUGUGAUACAGUGAGUUAUAAGAUAAAUAAUCUGUCUGUAAACAAUUGUUGAAAAAAUUACUUGUGUCAUGUACACAGUAGAUGUCUUAACUGACUUGCCAAAAAUAGAGUUUGUUAACAAGAAAUGUGUGGAGUGGUUGAAAAAUGUGUUUUAAUGACUCAGACCUAAGUGUAUGUAAUCUUCCGACUUCAACUGUAUAUAUGUACUAGCCUACCUCUUUCAUGUAAUAAUUCCAGGAAUAAAUUCAAUGCAGUUAUUAGCCUUAUAUUUACACUACCAAAAGUUUACACAAGACCAAAAGUUUGUGGACAACUGCUUGUCGAACAUCUCAUUCCAAAAUAAUGGGUGAUUCAUAUGGAGUUGGUCCCCCCUUUGCUGCUAUAACAGCCUCCACUCUUCUGGGAAGGCUUUCCACUAGAUGUUGGAACAUUGCUGCGGGGACUUGCUUCCAUUCAGCCACAAGAGCAUUAGUGAGGCCAGGCACUGAUGUUGAGCGAUCAGGCCUGGGUCGCAGUCGGUAUUCCAAUUCAUCCCAAAGGUGUUCGAUGGGGUUGAGGUCAGGGCUCUGUGCAGGCCAGUCAAGUUCUUCCAAACCAUUUCUGUAUGGACCUCGCUUUGUGCACGGGGUAAUUGUCAUGCUAAAGCAGAAAGGGCCUUCCCCAAAUGGUUACCACAAAGUUGGAAGCACAGAAUUAUCUAGAAUGUCAUUGUAUGCUGUAGCAUUAAGAUUUUCCUUCACUGGAACUAAGUGGCCUAGCACGAACCAUGAAAAACAGUCCCGGACCAUUAUUCCUCCUCCACCAAACUUUAUAGUUGGCAAUAUGCAUUGGGACAGGUAGAAUUCUCCUGGCAUCCGCCAAACCCAGAUUGGUCUGUCAGACUGCCAGAUGGUGAAGUGUGAUUCAUCACUCCAGAGAACGCGUUUCCACUGCUCCAGAGUCCAAUGGUUGGCGAGCUUUACACCACUCCAGCCGAUGGAAACCCAUUUCAUGAAGCUCCCGACAAACAGUUAUUGUGCUGACUUUGCUUAAAAAACGCUCCUUAGCUGUCUCAGAAAAAACUAGACUAGAAUAGCUUGCUGGAAAAAAUGUUUUUGCAUUUCUUAUACUAAUUGACUAUUGGAAGAGGGAUGCUAACUCUUGUUUGCUGAAUGUUAAAUAAAGAAGCCAAUAGAACUCACAGCCACGGGCCGGGGAGUUUGAAAGAAGAGAGAACGUGGGAUGGCGAUGCACGACUACCUGACUCAGGCAGCACAGUUCAUGGUUCUCUCUUCACUGGUAAGAAUCACUCUCUAUUAUCUUUCUCUUGUAUUAUUAUUAUGACUCAGAUUAUGUUGUUUAUAUACAGCUAAACUACAUAUACUGUAGGUUGCGAGAUGAUCCCACAGAAAACUAUAUUCUAAAGAUUAUGAUAAUAUAUGCAGUACUAUAUUUUUUACAAUUUUCUACAUUGUAGAAUAAUAGUGAAGACAUCAAAACUAUGAAAUAACACAUAUGGAAUCAUGUAGCAACCAAAAAAAAUGUUAAACAAAUCUAAAUAUAUUUUAUUUUUGAGAUUCUUCAAAGUAGGGACCUUUUGCCUUGGGCUCCCGAGCGGUCUAAGGCACUGCAUCUCAGUUCUAGAGGCAUCAUUACAGACCGUGGUUCGAUUCCAGGCUUUAUCACAACCUGCUGUGAUUGGGAGUCCCAUAGAGCGGCGCGCAAUUGGCCCAGUGCUGUCUGUGUUAGGGUUUGUCCGGGGUAGGCCGUCAUUGUAAAUACGAAUUUGUUCUUAACUGACUUGCCUAGUUAAAUAAAAAAAAUUAAAAAUGACAGCUUUGCACGCUCUUGGCAUUCUCUCAACCAGCUUAAUGAGGUAGUCACCUGGAAUACAUUUCAAUUAACAGGUGUGCCUUGUUAAAAGUUCAUUUGUGGAAUUUCUUUCCUUCUUAAUGCGUUUGAGCCAAUCAGUUGCGUUGUGACAAGGUAGGAGUGGUAUACAGAAAAUAGCUCUAUUUGGUAAAAGACCAAGUCCAUAUUAUAGCAAGAACAGCUCAAAUAAGCAAAGAGAAACGAUAGUCCAUAAUUACUUUAAGACGUGAAGAUUAGUUAAUUUCGGAAAAUUUCAGGAACUUUGAAAGUUUCAUCAAGUUCAGUCGCAAAACCAUCAAGAGCUAUGAAGAAACUGGUUCUCAUGAGGACCGCCACAGGAGGAGAAGACCCAAACUCUGCUGCAGAGGAUAAGUUCAUUAGAGUUAACUGCCUCAGAAAUUGCAGCCCAAAUAAAUGCUUCACAGAGUUCAAGUAACAGACACAUCUCAGCAUCAAAAGGAGACGGCAUGAAUCAAGUCUUCAUUGUCAAAUUACUGCAAAAAAAAACUACUAAAGGACACUAAUAAUAAGAAGAGACUUACUUAGGCCAAGAAACACAAGCAAUGGACAAUAGACCGGUGUAAAUUUGUCCUUUGGUCUGAUGAGUCCAAAUUUUAGAUUUUUUGUUCCAACCGCCGUGUCUUUGUGAUCUCUGCAUGUGUGGUUCCACCGUGAAGCAUGGAGGAGGAGGUGUGAUUGUGAGGGGGUGCUUUGCUGUUGACACUGUCUGUGAUUUAUUUAGAAUUCAAAGCACACUUAACCAGUAUGGCUACCACAGCAUUCUGCAGCGAUACGCCAUCCCAUUUGGUUUGUGCUUAGUGGGACUAUAAUUUAUUUUUCAACAGGACAAUGACCCAACACACCUCCAGGUUGUGUAAGGGCUAUUUGACCAAGAAGGAGAGUGAUGGAGUGCUGCAUCAGAUGACCUGGCCUCCACAAUCACCUGACCUCAACCCUAUUGAGAUGGUUUGGGAUGAGUUGGACUGCAAAGUGAAGGAAAAGCAGCUCAGCAUAUGUGGGAACUCCUUCAAGACAGGUGAAGCUGAAAGAAUGCGAUGAGAUAAUGCCAAGCUUGUGCAACGCUAUCAUCAAGGCAAAGGGUCGCUACUUUGAAGAAUCGAAAAUCGAAAAUAUAUUUUGUUUUCUUUAACACUUUUUUGGUUACUACAUAAUUCACUAUUAUUUUCCAAUGUAAAAAAUAGUACAAAUAAAGAAAAACCCUUGAAUGAGUAGGUGUGUCCAAACUUUUGAUUGGUACUGUAGCUAAAACAAAAUAAUUGGAAAAUGAACAAAAAUAUAACUGCAACAUGCAACAAUUUCAAAUAUUUGACUGAGUUACAAUUCAUAUAAGGAAGUCAGUCAAUUUAAAUUAAUUAAUUAGUCCCUAAUCUAUGGAUUUCACAUGACUGGGAAUACAGAUAUGCAUCUGUUUGUCACAGAUACCUUAAAAAAGUAGGGACGUGGAUCAGAAAACCAGUCAGUAUAUGCAUGAGACCACCAUUUGCCUCAUGCAGCGCGACACAUCUCCUUUGCAUAGAGUUAAUCAGGCUGUUGGUUGUGGCCUGUGGAAUGUUGUCCCACUCCUCUUCAAUGGCUGUGUGAAGUUGCUGGAUACUGGCAGGAACUGGAGCAUGCUGUCACCUGGGCUGGCGUGGUUACAUGUGGUCUGUGAGGCUGUUGGACAUACUGCCAAAUGAUCUAAAACGAUGUUGGAGGCCGCUUAUGGUAGAGAAAUUAACAUUAAAUUCUCUGGCAACAGCUCUGGUGGACAUUCCUGCAGUCAGCAUGCCAAUUGCACGCUCCCUCAACUUGAGACAUCUGUGGCAUUGUGCUGUGUGACAAAACUGCAGAUUUUAGAGUGGCCUUUUAUUGUCCCCAGCACAAGGUGCACCUGUGUAAUGAUCAUGAUGUUUAAUCAGCUUCUUGAUAUGCCACACCUGUCAGGUGGAUGGAUUAUCUUGGCAAAGGAGAAGUGCUCACUAACAGGGAUUAAAAUAAAUUUGUGCACAAAAUUUGAGAGAAAUAAGCUUGUAUGAAACAUUUAUGGAUUGUUUAAUUUCAGCUGAUGAAACACACUUUGCAUGUUGCAUUGCGUUUAUAUUUUUGUUCAGUGUAUUUAUCACUCUGUUUCUCCUUUGACUCACAGGUCUUUUGAUGGGAGGCGGAGCCCUGCUAUUGGUCACUCUGCUGCAGCCAUGAAAGAAUGGUCUAAUCAAAUCAAAUUGUAUUUGUCACAUGCACCGAGUACAACAGGUGUAGGCCUUACAGUGAAGUGCUUGCUUACAAGCCCUUAACCAACAAUGCAGUUUUAAGAAAAAUAAGUGUUGAGAAAAAAAUCGAUAAGUAAAAAAUAAGAAAUAAAAGUAACAAAUAAUUAAAGAGCAGCAGUAAAAUAACAAGAGAGAACAGUCUAUGACUGUCUUUGACAAUUUUAGGGCCUUCCUCUGACACCGCCUGGUAUAGAGGUCCUGGAUGGCAGGAAGCUUGGCCCCAGUGAUGUACUGGGCCGUACGCACGACACUCUGUAGUGCCUUGCGGUUGGAGGCCGAGCAGUUGCCAUACCAGGCAGUGAUGCAAUCAGUUAGGAUGCUCCCGAUGGUGCAGCUGUAUAACUUUUUGAGGAUCUGAGGACCCAUGCCAAAUCUUUCAGUCUCCUGAGGGGGAAUAGGUUUUGUCGUUGUUAUAAGAAUUUUAUAUCUUGAUGAUAAUAAUCAAUAAUCAAUUCGCCUUGACUAAUGCCCAAGGUUUGUAAGACAAUGGGUUAAAAUAAUUAGGCAAGGACUCAGCUUUCUGCAAAAGGUUUCUGUAGCUUUAUUCAUGAGAACGUUCUGGUGUCAGGAUAACAAAACAGUCAUUAUAUAGUUCUUGCUUACUUACGCACAUGCAUUUACACACAAUCCGUUGGUGACCUGCAACCCCCAUAAAAUUCUCACACUGUUUAUCACCUUCUGGCUCAGCCUUCAAGGUUAGGAACUCUCUGAGGUUUUACUCCCUUCACCAUCUGCUUCUCUAUCUCUCUAUACUAAUUGCAUACACACACUGAAUGUAUCAGAAAGGUUACCAAAACUAUGAUGCAGCUCAGAGUCUCUACUCUUCCCAAAAACCGCCAACCCUCUCCUGCCCUUAGUCUCUCUGCUAGGUACCACCCCAUACUCACACCUCUAGGAGCACACACAGUGAUGAACGGUCGGGAUAGGAAAUCUUCGUUAAGGAGGUAACCCCCGGACCCUGUUGGUAUCGGUUCUUCUCCUAACUCUGUGUGUGAUCAGCAGUGCUCAUAUGUGUACAUACCUUCUUGCAGUGGAUAACGUGGACCCAAGUGACUCUCUCAGCUUUUCUAAUGGCAAAGGCAGUGGUUUAACAGAACCUGGUAUGGGCCUUCCCAAUGGGGCUGCUUCCAGUCUUUCCUCCUCAGGGACUGGAUCCACACCCAGUCUCCUGGUUGGAUUGAGUGAAUCACCUUCUCCUGUAAUUCACCUGUUGGACACAAAAUCUUGGACAUACGGGGUUGGUUAACAAACAGUCUUCUCAUGUGCUCUGUUAGUAUUUCUUCAACUUCUAUGUCUACCUGUUCUGGUAUCUCUAACUCUGGUAUUCUAUAGGCUCUACUUGAUUAGCUAAAAUGUCAUCCAUCAUUUAAAGAGAUGGCUCCUAGUAAACCAACUCCAGGGAUAAUAUCUUGACUUAAUAUUUUAGCUACCAUAAUCAUGUCCACCAAGUAAGUUGGGAACGCUUCUACCCAUUUGCUAUACUUAUCUAUUCUUGUUAAACACCCCUUCUUCCCCUCAUUUCGGAAUAUCUCAAUAAGGUCAAUUUCCAACUGUUGGAAUGGAUAUCUUACAAAAAAAUGUGUUUAAGUAAUUAUCCUCUAGGCCAUCACUCUUUCCUAACUACUCUACUAUACUUCCCUCCCCUUGAUACAUUGCUUAGCCUAUGUAUCAAUAUUGCUGCGUAUCCAUACAAUGUCUUUGGUAGGAUAAGUAAAUUAUCCUUAUGUCAGACCUUCUCUUGUAGGAUGCCCCCUUUCAUUUUCCACAUGUCCAAUUCUCCCUGGGGCCUUCAUCCUCGGCUAUUCUGUAACAAUUCUCUGUCAAGUGUUUUAUCUUCUUUAAGAUUUAUCUGUGCUGUUUUGUAUGGUUUUAAAUGUCUAUGUGCUUGUCUGUGUAGAUAGUAACUUUUCUCUCCUUUCUUAUUUCACCGGUUCUAGUCAAUGCUACUAUUUCGGCCUACUGUGCAGAAUAGUGUCUGGGCAAUGGUUCAGUGUCUAACACCUGAAACCAACUAAGCUUUCAUUGCCCUUUUAGUUAGGGUAACAAUUACUUUGAACAAAAUGAUCAUAUCUCCUCCUAGCGAAUUUACCAAACAUAAACUUAAAAUCAAAACUAAAAUAUAUACCUAUGGAGCCGAUAGUCUCUCCAUGAAUUAAUAUCCUAAAGCUAAGUGAACCAAAUUCUCUUCCUAUCUACUCCUGCUGGCCCCCCUUCUUUCUUCCUGCUACUCCCCAACCCUCAAGGUUUCAGCAGUGCAGGGGAGGAUCUCUCUGUCUGCCCUUCUAUCUGUCUCCAGCUUUUUGUGAUAACAUGGUUGUUUCCAAAUAUUGACUAAACGUCUCAUUGUCUCCUUGGUUGCACUCCUGAGUUUUAGAAAAAUCAACCUGUCUAGAUAUUGCAUAUCUACUUAAAUGUAUCUCGAUACCCUCAAUGAUCCUGGAUCACCUACAGAUGUCAUAUAUCCCUGUCCUGUUGACAUAAAUCUAUCAUUAUUAAACUUAUUCACAACAAAAUAUAGUAAUAUUAUAUCCAUUCCACAGCCUUGUUGUGUUAAAUCUCUUACACUGCUUUCAACAACAGCUGACUUCCUAAGGGAAAAUAAACUUAUCUAGAUCAUGUAAAAAAUACCCCUGCUACUGGUCAAAAUAUUCUCAAAUCACAUAAUCAGAUCUAAAUGACUAAUCUGAUUUACUCCACCAAGAAAAAUUAUUUUACCCUUAUUGUUCUAGGAAAAUAGACUUGAAGAAGCCUACCCUUAGUCUAAGGCUUUGCCCUUUUAGUCUUCUCAUUGGUUCUAAUUAUCAAUUGUGUCUAAGAACUUUAACUCCUUCAUAAUUAUCAGUUCUACAAAUUCCCUUAAAAUCAAUAUCACCAAUGACCUUAAAUUCACCAUCCAAAUGGCUUUUCAAUGUGGCUGAUCAGACCACACAGGAAAAGUCACCAGAUGGGUCAAAAGUCAUACCACCCUUUCAGAACCGUGUUUCUUACUACUGUUACGGAUACAAGUGUGUAUCCUGUAUGUGUGUUUCUUUUCUCUCCUUCUCCUCCUCACAGGUGACAAUCAUCACUCCCCAAUCAGUCAUCAAUCAGUCCCCAAACAGAAGUCACCUGCUCCUCUUCCCUCACCCAAUCACAGUCCCUUUCCCUUGGUUUAAAACCCCAGUCAGUUGCAAUCUCUCACUAGCUCAUUAUCACUCUGAGCUCAUUCUCACUCUGAUCAAUCUUUGUGUUCAUUCUCUCUCUCUCUCUCUCUCUCUCUCUCUCUCUCUCUCUCUCUCUCUCUCUCUCUCUCUCUCUCUCUCUCUCUCUCUCUCACCCCCUCUCUGGCAUCUCUUACUUCCCUCAGAU
rnacentral:lncRNA from 1 species